GGAAGAGCAGUGCUGACUGUGCGGAGGGACCCCUCUCCUCCUCCUCACCACUGUCAGGGGUUGGGCACAGGGUGACUGGUCACACCUUGUCUUCCCUGGGUCACACGAGGGAAAAGUGGCCAGGAAAGCAGACCAAGAGCCACCAAUUUGCUCCCACUGAAAGCCCAAGCCCUGCUGCUUACAGAGGUGUUGAAAUGAGAAAGGGAAUGAUUGUCUUCAGCCCAUCAUGAGAAUUCAGAACCCUUUUCUCCCAGCUGGUGGUCUCUGUU
rnacentral:lncRNA from 12 species